GGGUGCCAUCAUACCAGCACUAAUGCACCGGAUCCCAUCAGAACUCCGAAGUUAACCGUGCUUGGGCGAGAGUAGUACUAAGAUGGGUGACCUCUUGGGAAGUCCUCGUGUUGAACCCC
rnacentral:rRNA from 1 species